AAUAAAAAUUAUGUUUGAAUGUUAUAACAAAGUUUAAAGAUUGAAUAAUGUUUGAAAGGUUUAAAAAGAAACAUUUAGUUAAAAAACACAUUGAAUCAGAAGUUUUCGAUUCUGCAGAACGCGAAGAUAUUUCGACAAAUAGCAAUAACAUUGAAGAUUUUAAUGAUUUAUCAUUUAUUCUUGAUUAUAUUGGAUCGGAUUAUGUAUCCGAAGCUAAAUCAGAAGCAAUAAUUUUAGACACUUUGAAAAAAAUAAAAAAACAACACAGAAAAACUAUUAGAGUUGAUUUUAAUAUUAAAAAUGGUAUACUUAAAAUUAGCGAGUGCGAGCACGGUGCUUUACUUAUUACAGCCCCAUCUUAUGCAGUUGCGUUAUGUGCUAGAGACGAGGUUCCUGGUUUUGAAACAAAUUUCGGUAUUAAUAUUACAAGAAGAAGAAUUCACAUGUGUCAUGUGUUUCAAACUGGAUCAAAAUUAGAAGUUUAUUCUAUUACAAGAGCCAUUGCACUUUCAUUUCGUUGUGUGGCAAAAGAUCUUCGAAAAAUUGAAUGUGGAAUUGAUGACCGUUGGUCUCAUUCUGAAGAGAAGUUACGCUACUUGCGGAUCAGAUCUGAUACAACUGAUACAACUAGAGAAUUUGAAAAUAUUUCUCGAAGACAUAAUAAAUCAGGAAUUCUUCCCACUUUGAAAUCAGAAGAUCAUUUAGAUUUAUAUGAAGCUGGAUCACAAAAUGAUGCGAGCUGUUCAAAUCAUUCUGAGGAGCCUGUUCAUAAGACAUCAAGCUCAACUGAUGAUGUUUACCAAUCAACUUCUUAUGACACAGAUUUCAGUGAUCGUCCUGUAUCAGAUGACGAGUCUGAUACUUUUACAAGUUGUAAUGGAUUUGAAGAUCUUUUUGCGCAAACCUUAAGAGCUAUUAAAAGACAUGAUUUGUACCAUGUUUCUAAGUUCUUUGAUGAAGAUGCUUUGCUCACUGUACUUGAUAAAAGAUGCCAUAGUCUUUUGCAUUAUGCUGUCAAAGCAGAUGAUGGAAAAAUUGUGGAACUGUUAUUAAAAAGAGGUAUGGAUGUAAAUAUAGAAGGUCCCAAAGAUCAAACUCCACUUCAUAUGGCUGCAUUUCUUGGUUAUACCUCCAUUGCAAGAAUAUUGCUUGAUUAUGGAGCAAAUGUCCGAGCCAAAGACCAAUCUUACCAAACACCUCUACAUCUUUGUGCUGGCAGUAUGCAAAAACUUGAGCUUUCAUAUAUUUUAAUUGAACAUGGAGCACGAAUUGAAGAUAAUAAUUUAGAUGGAAUUCGUCCAAUUGAUAUUAAUAUAGAAUUAAAGGAAAUGCAAAAUCGUUUAGUUCAAUCAACAUGUGAAGCUUUUGCAGGACUUGAAAUAUCUUAUUCUCGCUCAAUACUUCAAUCUGAGGUAUCACGUACAAAUAGUCAAUUGUCUUGUUCUAGUUCAGUUCUGCUUCCUCAAAAUGUAAAAAUGAAUGGCAAUGUUUUUCUUUUUGCUGAGAAGAACAGACACAAUUCACAUCAAGGAUAUGAUAAUACUCAUGAUGCAUCAGUUACAAACCUAAAUGAUGGCACCUCAAGUGAGUUAAGUGCUUUCUCUAUAAAUGAGUCAAAUACUGAUUCUGAUUUUGAAAGAGACAGUCUUCAAUUUCUGUGUAAUGAAGAUGAGAACCAGUUUAAAAAAAAAGUUUUUAAAAAAAAGAUAUUUUACAGACCCAUAAAUCACAUUAAAAAUGAUGCAGUUGGUAAUUCUUUACACAUACUGUUGACUUUAUUAAGUAAUUCUGAAUGUCAUCAAGCACUUUUAGCUAAUCUAUGUCUUCCUAAAGCUGCUUGUCAAUUAGUUGCAGCAGCUCAUUCAACCAAAAAGAUUUAUCUUAAAUAUAUUUCACAGCUUUUGAUUAACAUGUUCAAUGCUAACGGUGUGACAAGUCGUCAAAAAUGUAUUUCUGCUGGGUUACUAAAAACUGUUAUUGACUUGCUUGAUUCCCCAGAACCUCUUCAAAGUUCAUGUUUAUCUAUUCUUAAUGAUGUUCUUCAGCAAGAUAGUGAUCGAGAUUAUUCCACAACAAUAUCAGGAAUUCAUAUUGAACUUCUACUUGGAAUUAUUUGUGCAAAUAAUAGUCUUACCACUUUACCUUCACCUAUGAUGAGACCUACUUUUUCUUCAAGUGUAGACAGUGGUUAUCGAACACCAUUGUUAGAAAAAAGGUCUAAAAAAUUAUCAUUUAAUGAAGACAAAGAUUUAGAAAAAUCCCCAGUUAGAUCUAAUUCAUUACAAAAUAAGUAUAUAAAAGCUGAUCGUUUACUACAUUUAAACUCAGAAUCUGUUGGUCCUGGAUAUUUAGACACUAUGCCCUCUUCUGACCAUUCAUUAGCUCGAUAUGCUUCACUGUCUUCUGUCAGCCGUAAUGGCUCUCGUGAAUUUGAUGGGUUUUUACGUCAGAAACUGAUUAGCACUGGAAGCUCUGAAAUUAAUAAAGAAAGACCUUUUGAUCGCCCUGUUGCGCGUCAUGUAGCUAUGAAAAUGUUAGCUGCAAGCAGCAGAAAUGAAAAAUUACAAGAUGAAUUGACACAAUCUCAUAUGUUGAGUUUCUUAAAAAACUGCUUAAAUGACUGUGAUCAGGAAAUAGUUUUAUAUGCUACUAUUUCUAUAGCAAAUAUAGUUGCUAACAUUGAAAGACAUGCACAAAUGGAGGCUGAAAAUGUUGUAAAAUAUCUUUAUAAGCUAUUAGAGCACCCAAAUACUAAAAUAAAAUAUCAAGCAGGACGAGCUCUUGUUUAUUUAGGCCAUUUGGAUUUAGCCAAUACAAAUAUAUACGAAUAUGUACCAGAGGAAGAUUCUUGUCUUGCAAGUAUUCAAGAAGAAGAUGAUGGCCAUUUAUAUUUGCGUGGUACAUCAGUUGAAAAUCUAGUUCUUUCACUUACUACUAAUAUUGAAAUGUUAUGGGGGGGUAUUAGUUGCCCAACAAGAAAUAAAACAAGAAUUCAAUCAAUUCCUAACGAAAAUCAAAUAAUAAACUUUGUCAUUAAAAUGUAUCAAACAUUUGUACAUCCUGUUAUUUUGAUGCGUUUACUUUUACAUAGGUUCCGAGAACCUAAAGCAUAUGCAGCAUUUAUUAGUUAUAAUAAUACUAGCACUACAAUAGAAUAUUAUGCUCCAUUGCCAACAAUACAUGCGCGUCUUGUACGAUUUUGGAUAGCUUGGCUUGAAGUUGGUCUUGAGGAUUUUAAAACUUAUCCAAUAAUUAGAAAUGAGUUAUGUGAAGUAGUAAGUUCAAUGAAGGCCAUUGGUGGUCCUUAUGCUCCUUGUGCUGAUUAUUUAGGAAAGUUGCUGUCAAAAUCUCAUGAAGAACUUUGCUCUAAAAAUGUCUAUCGAUCUCCACCUGUAAAUCAUCAUAAUGAUUUAUAUGAGCAGUGUUACAAAGCUAUUUUUGAUGGAUCUUUACCUUGUUCUGAAACUGAUUUGGUUUAUUUGGGUGGACUUCAAUUAUAUAUAGAAGAUUUACAUCUCUAUGGUCAAGAUUUCCCUCAGCGACUAAAUACAAUAAAAGGCAUAAAUAAUUCUCGAAUAAAAAAUAGCAUAGGAUCACAAGUAUCUUUAUCAAAAUCUUUUUCUAAAAAGAUUUGUAGCAAUUAUGAAAGCUUUGUUCUUUUACAACAGUCUGAAAGGAAUGCAAAACAUAAUUAUAUUGACUGUUGCCAAGGAAUGCCAGGUUAUGGCUGCACUUUUUUUAAAAUAAAAGAGCAUGUUCCCUCAAAUCGACUUUCAAAAAUUUACAUCACUCGAUUAAUUGGUUUAGGUCCUAAAAAAGUUGUCAUUUUAGAUGAAUGCACUAAACAAUGUAUUGAAAAGUUCAAUGAAGUUAGUACUUGGAAAUCGAAUGAUGAUGGCACAAUUAUAAUAUGUUUCAAAAACAAUAAAGUUCUUGAUUUUCAAAUUGAUAUCAUCAAUUUAAAAGAUUUUAACUGUUUAUUAACUCACACUAUGUCAAGUAGUAUUAGAGACUUUCACAAUAUUGACACAAAUCCUUGGAGUAAAUUAGCUGAAGAAUGUGGUACAUGGGGAAGGGCUCUUCAGAAUCAUUUAUCUAAGAUCAAAACUAAGGGUACAAUUUCACAAAACUUAAACAAUCUUAAAGAAAAAUCAGAUGAUGAAGUUCAGAAAUUAUCACAGGGGUUUUCUAAUUCAAAGGAUGGCACACGUUCUCUUCCUCGAAGUUCAAUAGAAAUUCUGUCAUUUCUGAAUUUAAAAAAAAAAAUUAAAAGUCAAGGCAUAGAUCAAACUAACAUGGCAGUCUCAGACCAAGAGUUUCUACCUAUGUUUUCUUCUAAGGUAUCAGGUUUUACUUCCAACAAGGUUUCAAAUGAUAUCAUUUCAACUUUAGAAAAUAUUUCACUGCUGGUUGAUGCUGACUCUUGUGACCUAAAUCACUCACAAUUAAUAGGAGGUCAUCAUUUUGAUGUUGAAAAAUAUUAUACAUGUCAAUGUCCACCAGAUGCAGAAAUACUUAAUCUCAAUUUAAGGGAGUUCAGGUACUAUUUACAGUGCUUUUGAACUGCUUGAACAUCCUAGAGAACUAGCACGACAAAUUACGUUAAUUGACCAUGAAAUGUUUUGUAAUAUUACAUCAAAAGAUAUCCUAAGAAAAAUAUCAUUAGGAUAUAUAAAAAAGUUACAUAUUGAAAAAGACAAUUUACAUCCUAUUGAAGAUGUGGCACAGAGGUUUAAUCAGAUGAGCAACUGGAUUGUGUGCAGCA
rnacentral:misc_RNA from 1 species